rnacentral:rRNA from 1 species
GUAGGUGGCAAGCGUUGUCCGGAAUUAUUGGGCGUAAAGCGCGCGCAGGCGGUUCGUUUAAGUCUGAUGUGAAAGCCCACGGGCUCAACCGUGGAGGGUCAUUGGAAACUGGAGAACUUGAGUACAGAAGAGGAAAGCGGAACUCCACGUGUAGCGGUGAAAUGCGUAGAGAUGUGGAGGAACACCAGUGGCGAAGGCGGCUUUCUGGUCUGUAACUGACGCUGAGGCGCGAAAGCGUGGGGAGCAAACAGGAUUAGAUACCCUGGUAGUCCACGCCGUAAACGAUGAGUGCUAAGUGUUAGGGGGUUUCCGCCCCUUAGUGCUGCAGCUAACGCAUUAAGCACUCCGCCUGGGGAGUACGGCCGCAAGGCUG